ACCUGUGUGGUGUAGUGGUUUCAGCACUGGACUAUGACUCUGGAGACCAGGGUUCAAAUCACAGCUUGACCA